rnacentral:rRNA from 1 species
GACGAACCGAGCGAACGUUAUUCGGAAUCACUGGGCUUAAAGGGCGCGUAGGCGGGCCGUCAAGUCAGGGGUGAAAGCCCCCAGCUCAACUGGGGAAGUGCCUUUGAUACUGACGGCCUCGAGGGAGAUAGGGGUGUGCGGAACUUCCAGUGGAGCGGUGAAAUGUGUUGAUAUUGGAAGGAACGCCGGUGGCGAAAGCGGCACACUGGGUCUUAACUGACGCUGAGGCACGAAAGCCAGGGGAGCGAACGGG